rnacentral:rRNA from 1 species
UACGUAGGUGGCAAGCGUUGUCCGGAUUUACUGGGCGUAAAGAGCGCGCAGGCGGUCGUUCAAGUCGAGUGUGAAAGCCCCCGGCUCAACUGGGGAGGGUCACUCGAUACUGAUCGACUCGAAGGCAGAAGAGGGAAGCGGAAUUCCCGGUGUAGUGGUGAAAUGCGUAGAUAUCAGGAAGAACACCGGUGGCGAAGGCGACCCUCUGGACGGAUACUGACGCUGAGACGCGAAAGCGUGGGGAGCAAACAGG